rnacentral:lncRNA from 1 species
CACCUGUGGAUGCAACGAAAACAUUCAUGGAACAGACGGACGCACUGACUGAAUGACCGACGGAUACAGUUUCUAUUGCCCUCAUUUUUUUUUUAUAGAAGUCCAGGAUUAAAAGUAAAUGUUUGACAGGGCGAACCGGAACAAGGGGCGAACUUAGAACUGUGUUCGAAACGACCCGGAUUCAAAAAAUUGCAUAUACCAGAAAAAUGUGACAGUUUCUACGGAGAAAUAGUGUGUUUUAUCGUCUUAGACUUAUUAGAAGAAAUGUGCAGGUGGUCUUCUUGGCAGGUGAGACUCGGGUGCAGAUUGCGAAUAUUUUUUUCGGCGUGACAACUGACAACUUCCUGUUACCUGUGAUCUCAAUCGUGUCGACGUUUUAGAGUUUUUCUAAUAACACUGUGCUUAAACGGCCGUGGGUAACUUAAGUUACCCACAGCCCAAGAUGGCGGACUCUAAACUCGUUGAGAUGAUAGUUGAUACGAAAUCUACUUUUUGCAACGUUUUCCAUGAUCUAUGUAAAUAUUGAUAGGAUUUUAGAAUAAAGAAAUCACUUACCAUCACUACAAAUUUGUUAAUUUUGACUUCACUUUAGCGCAAGGCCAACUUUUAAAAAAUGCAUAAGAUGUCCGUAACUUAUAAGUCAAAAAUAAUCAGACUGUCCGUAACUUUAUUUUCGGAUGUGGGUAACUUUUUUUUUUCAAAAUUGUAAGAUUAGCAAUUUCAACACUUAAAGGACACUAAACACUAGCAAACCCCUUAAUUAUUACAAAGAUUUAUACAAUAACGAUAUGCUUCAAACUAAACAAGAGAAAAAAGCAAACCAGAGUGUCACGGAUUUUCCGUUAAAUUUUAAAAAAAAUAUUCCCGGGAUAAAACGGGAUCUGACGGUACGGCAAAAUUUAUCUAACAUUCUUCUAGCUUUAUAGAUUGUUCACUGAUGAGUCCUUGGCCUGUGUAGCCGC